GACGAACGCUGGCGGCGUGCUUAACACAUGCAAGUCGAACGGAAAGGCCCUGCUUUUGUGGGGUGCUCGAGUGGCGAACGGGUGAGUAACACGUGAGUAACCUGCCCUUGACUUUGGGAUAACUUCGGGAAACUGGGGCUAAUACCGGAUAGGAGCUCCUGCUGCAUGGUGGGGGUUGGAAAGUUUCGGCGGUUGGGGAUGGACUCGCGGCUUAUCAGCUUGUUGGUGGGGUAGUGGCUUACCAAGGCUUUGACGGGUAGCCGGCCUGAGAGGGUGACCGGCCACAUUGGGACUGAGAUACGGCCCAGACUCCUACGGGAGGCAGCAGUGGGGAAUAUUGCACAAUGGGCGGAAGCCUGAUGCAGCAACGCCGCGUGCGGGAUGACGGCCUUCGGGUUGUAAACCGCUUUCGCCUGUGACGAAGCGUGAGUGACGGUAAUGGGUAAAGAAGCACCGGCUAACUACGUGCCAGCAGCCGCGGUGAUACGUAGGGUGCGAGCGUUGUCCGGAUUUAUUGGGCGUAAAGGGCUCGUAGGUGGUUGAUCGCGUCGGAAGUGUAAUCUUGGGGCUUAACCCUGAGCGUGCUUUCGAUACGGGUUGACUUGAGGAAGGUAGGGGAGAAUGGAAUUCCUGGUGGAGCGGUGGAAUGCGCAGAUAUCAGGAGGAACACCAGUGGCGAAGGCGGUUCUCUGGGCCUUUCCUGACGCUGAGGAGCGAAAGCGUGGGGAGCGAACAGGCUUAGAUACCCUGGUAGUCCACGCUGUAAACGGUGGGUACUAGGUGUGGGGUCCAUUCCACGGGUUCCGUGCCGUAGCUAACGCUUUAAGUACCCCGCCUGGGGAGUACGGCCGCAAGGCUAAAACUCAAAGGAAUUGACGGGGCCCCGCACAAGCGGCGGAGCAUGCGGAUUAAUUCGAUGCAACGCGUAGAACCUUACCUGGGUUUGACAUGGAUCGGGAGUGCUCAGAGAUGGGUGUGCCUCUUUUGGGGUCGGUUCACAGGUGGUGCAUGCCUGUCGUCAGCUCGUGUCGUGAGAUGUUGGGUUAAGUCCCGCAACGAGCGCAACCCUUGUUCACUGUUGCCAGCACGUUAUGGUGGGGACUCAGUGGAGACCGCCGGGGUCAACUCGGAGGAAGGUGGGGAUGACGUCAAGUCCUCAUGCCCCUUAUGUCCAGGGCUUCACGCAUGCUACAAUGGCUGGUACAGAGAGUGGCGAGCCUGUGAGGGUGAGCGAAUCUCGGAAAGCCGGUCUCAGUUCGGGUUGGGGUCUGCAACUCGACCUCAUGAAGUCGGAGUCGCUAGUAAUCGCAGAUCAGCAACGCUGCGGUGAAUACGUUCCCGGGGCC
rnacentral:rRNA from 1 species